UUCUGUUCCUUAGAGGUGGUAGACUGUGAUCUCUUCUCACUGAGCGUGCCCAGAAGCUGCAUUCUCACAGGACUGACAGAUGAUAGACUGCGGCUCUUCUCCACGGACUGCUGGCUGAGUGAGGUCUGGGGGAAGUAUCGUUAUGGUUUCUCAUGAGACUCAUGAGUUCCACAGGGGCAAGAUGUCAACUCAUGACCUGUAUCAGAGGAAGAAUACCCCAUCAAACCAAUAUCCCCAAGAAGGCCAUAAAGUGAGUCAAGAGAAUAAAGGAAUGCCCUUUAAGAUAGGUUACAGCUGUCAUGCAUUACAAAGCCAGUUCGUUAUUUCAUCUUCAUUAUGUCUCUUUGGCACUGGGGCCAAAAUUUAAAUAUCUUCUGGUUCCGGUAAUCACAGUUGUGUUGGUUGGGAGAGAAAUCCUGGAGGACACAAUUGGAGGUGCAAAUGUGAAGUUCUUUGCUGUGAGGAAAAUGGUGUGAAACCAAAAAUAUACCUAUUUGAUCAUUACAGAAAACAACGCAAUAUACAUUUUUAUAAACCCUUUUUAUGGUUUAUAAAAAUAGGGUUUUAACGUUAUUUAUGGCUAUUAAAUAUACUGACCAAAACAAGGGAGGGACACAAAAAAUGACCCUUUGGUCCUCUAUCGACUAUGUUUGCCAAUUAUAUGUUCCAACCUUCAUGUAAUUUGUAUUUCUUUAGAUUUGUACUUUUCCUCUUGACUGUCCUCCACUCUUAGCCCCACUAGAUUGUCCUUCUGCUCUCACAUAGUGUCUAAACUGACUUGUUUGGUCUGUGUCCAAGCUUCUAUUUAGGUUAAUUUCUUGCAAAAGAAGCAAAGUCAUCUCUAGUGUGGAAUAAAAUGUCCCAGUUUGAAAGUAUCCCAAACUUUCUUAGCACAUGUAACGAUUAUCACUGCUUAUAAACC